rnacentral:rRNA from 1 species
AGUGAACGAGGGAGGGAGGAAGAACACAGGCAAGUCGAACGGCAGCACAGUAAGAGCUUGCUCUUACGGGUGGCGAGUGGCGGACGGGUGAGGAAUACAUCGGAAUCUACUUUUUCGUGGGGGAUAACGUAGGGAAACUUACGCUAAUACCGCAUACGACCUACGGGUGAAAGCAGGGGAUCUUCGGACCUUGCGCGAUUGAAUGAGCCGAUGUCGGAUUAGCUAGUUGGCGGGGUAAAGGCCCACCAAGGCGACGAUCCGUAGCUGGUCUGAGAGGAUGAUGAGCCACACUGGAACUGAGACACGGUCCAGACUCCUACGGGAGGCAGCAGUGGGGAAUAUUGGACAAUGGGCGCAAGCCUGAUCCAGCCAUACCGCGUGGGUGAAGAAGGCCUUCGGGUUGUAAAGCCCUUUUGUUGGGAAAGAAAAGCAGCAGGUUAAUACCCCGCUGUUCUGACGGUACCCAAAGAAUAAGACCCGGCUCCCUUCGUU